rnacentral:misc_RNA from 1 species
GAUGAAGAACGCAGCGAAAUGCGAUAAUUAAUGUGAAUUGCAGAAUUCAGUGAAUCAUCGAGUCUUUGAACGCACAUUGCGCCCCCUGGUAUUCCGGGGGGCAUGCCUGUCCGAGCGUCAUUGCUGCCCUCAAGCACGGCUUGUGUGUUGGGCUUCCGUCCCUGGCAACGGGGACGGGCCCAAAAGGCAGUGGCGGCACCAUGUCUGGUCCUCGAGCGUAUGGGGCUUUGUCACCCGCUCCCGUAGGUCCAGCUGGCAGCUAGCCUCGCAACCAAUCUUUUUAACCAGGUUGACCUCGGAUCAGGUAGGGAUACCCGCUGAACUUAAGCAUAUCAAUAAGCGGAGGA